AGAGAAAACUGAUUUAGCAAUGAACACUUUUGCGCCAUAAUAACUACCUCACAGUUCUUCAUCCUCUGGUCAUUCCAGACACAUUCAAAUUUCCCUCUCUUUGGCAUUGGCGCUGUCCCGAAAAUCCCUAGGGAUUUUCCAGUGGCUUAUCCGCACAAUUCAUGACAUGUUGAUGGUCUUUUUCGUCAUUUUAACUCUGUUCUACUGUUUGUGCAAGUAUUUGCUCGAUUUUAAGGCCAGCAGGCGGCAUGCCCCGUAUAAAGACAAAUCGUUCCUGGUCUAGCUCGAGCCCCUUUCAACGCAAGCACUGCGAUGGCCCCAAAAAGUUGAGACAGUUUUGCCAGCGUUACUUUCCGGUAAGCGACUAAUGGGCAAUGACUAGAGCAACAACUAGUAGCUUAUGGCUAAAUAAAUAUACGCACAUCAGAGCCCCAUUGCUUCACUUGCAUCUAAGAUGUAGGAGAACUUCUUGUGCUGAUAUAGAAAAACUUACCCUGCGUAUCAAGUAGAGGCAAGCUAUUGGAGGCAACAGGGGCUGCACUGGAGUGAAUGCACAGGCACAAAAACACUAGCACUAAUAAAAGGGGCCCCUUUUGAGACUGGCUAAUUUUAACCUGGCUUUCAAAAACUAGCCGUCAGUUUUUGGGAACUUUGGCAAUGUCGCUUGGGCCUGGAUAUUUAAUAAAUAUUUUUCAUUUA